rnacentral:rRNA from 1 species
CAUACCUAUUCGAAGGGAUAGGGUCGGUUUGGCCGGAUUUCACACAGGUGUUGCAUGGCUGUCGUCAGCUCGUGUCGUGAGAUGUUGGGUUAAGUCCCGCAACGAGCGCAACCCUCAUCCUUAGUUACCAUCAGGUUAUGCUGGGGACUUUAAGGAAACUGCCAGUGAUAAACUGGAGGAAGGUGGGGAUGAUGUCAAGUCAUCAUGGCCCUUAUGGAGUGGGCUACACACGUGCUACAAUGGUGAUUACAAUGGGCUGCAAGGUCGCAAGGCUGAGCUAAUCCUAAAAAAUCAUCUCAGUUCGGAUUGUUCUCUGCAACUCGAGAGCAUGAAGUUGGAAUUGCUAGUAAUCGUGGAUCAGCAUGCCACGGUGAAUACGUUCUCGGGUCUUGUACACACUGCCCGUCACGCCAUGGGAAUUGGUUUCACUCGAAGCU